rnacentral:rRNA from 1 species
UACGUAGGUGGCAAGCGUUGUCCGGAUUUCCUGGGCGUAAAGAGCGCGCAGGCGGCCAAGUCAGUCGAAUGUGAAAGCCCCCGGCUCAACUGGGGAGGGUCAUUCGAUACUGCUCGGCUCGAAGACAGGAGAGGGAAGUGGAAUUCCCGGUGUAGUGGUGAAAUGCGUAGAUAUCGGGAGGAACACCAGUGGCGAAGGCGACUUUCUGGCCUGUUCUUGACGCUGAGGCGCGAAAGCUAGGGGAGCAAACGGG